rnacentral:rRNA from 1 species
GACGAACGCUGGCGGCGUGCUUAACACAUGCAAGUCGAACGGAAAGGCCCUGCUUUUGUGGGGUGCUCGAGUGGCGAACGGGUGAGUAACACGUGAGUAACCUGCCCUUGACUUUGGGAUAACUUCAGGAAACUGGGGCUAAUACCGGAUAGGAGCUCCUGCUGCAUGGUGGGGGUUGGAAAGUUUCGGCGGUUGGGGAUGGACUCGCGGCUUAUCAGCUUGUUGGUGGGGUAGUGGCUUACCAAGGCUUUGACGGGUAGCCGGCCUGAGAGGGUGACCGGCCACAUUGGGACUGAGAUACGGCCCAGACUCCUACGGGAGGCAGCUGUGGGGAAUAUUGCACAAUGGGCGGAAGCCUGAUGCAGCAACGCCGCGUGCGGGAUGACGGCCUUCGGGUUGUAAACCGCUUUCGCCUGUGACGAAGCGUGAGUGACGGUAAUGGGUAAAGAAGCACCGGCUAACUACGUG